UCAGAUUGAACGCUGGCGGCAUGCUUUACACAUGCAAGUCGAACGGCAGCAUGGGCUUCGGCCUGAUGGCGAGUGGCGAACGGGUGAGUAAUACAUCGGAACGUGCCUAGUAGUGGGGGAUAACUACUCGAAAGAGUAGCUAAUACCGCAUGAGAUCUACGGAUGAAAGCAGGGGACCUUCGGGCCUUGUGCUACUAGAGCGGCUGAUGGCAGAUUAGGUAGUUGGUGGGGUAAAGGCUCACCAAGCCUGCGAUCUGUAGCUGGUCUGAGAGGACGACCAGCCACACUGGGACUGAGACACGGCCCAGACUCCUACGGGAGGCAGCAGUGGGGAAUUUUGGACAAUGGGCGAAAGCCUGAUCCAGCAAUGCCGCGUGCAGGAUGAAGGCCCUCGGGUUGUAAACUGCUUUUGUACGGAACGAAAAGACUUCUUCUAAUACAGGAGGUCCAUGACGGUACCGUAAGAAUAAGCACCGGCUAACUACGUGCCAG
rnacentral:rRNA from 1 species